rnacentral:rRNA from 1 species
CCUACGGGAGACUGCAGUGGGGAAUAUUGCACAAUGGGGGAAACCCUGAUGCAGCGACGCCGCGUGAGUGAAGAAGUAUUUCGGUAUGUAAAGCUCUAUCAGCAGGGAAGAAGAUGACGGUACCUGUUCAAUAAGCCCCGGCUAACUACGUGCCAGCAGCCGCGGUAAUACGUAGGGGGCAAGCGUUAUCCGGAUUUACUGGGUGUAAAGGGAGCGCAGACGGCAGCGCAAGUCUGAAGUGAAAUGCCGGGGCUUAACCCCGGAACUGCUUUGGAAACUGUGCAGCUAGAGUGCAGGAGAGGGAAGUGGAAUUCCUAGUGUAGCGGUGAAAUGCGUAGAGAUUAGGAGGAACACCAGUGGCGAAGGCGGCCUACUGGACUGUAACUGACGUUGAGGCUCGAAAGCGUGGGGAGCAAACAGGAUUAGAUACCCGGGUAGUC